UUUUUUUUUCCUAAAGGGAGAGCUUUAUUUAUUUUAGUUGGAAGAAAACUAAUGAAGGUCACAUCCCUUAUGGACUUUCAGUUAAUUCCAAAGGAAUUUCUCCCAGUGUCACCUCAAUGAUCUGCAGCCAAACGCGACUCCCAGGAAACAUCACAAACUGAAUUAGUUUUGAAGUUAAGAUGUCUUUGAGCUUCGUGGUUAAAUGUUUUCUUCAAAAUAAUAUAUAUUUGGUAAGUUUGUCUGAUAUUUUUUAAGCAAAUAGUUCUUCACUUUCUCAAUUUUAUUUAGUAUGUGCACUGUUAAAGUCAG